rnacentral:rRNA from 1 species
GACGGAGGAUGCAAGUGUUAUCCGGAAUCACUGGGCGUAAAGGGUCUGUAGGUGGUUUUCUAAGUCUGCUGUUAAAGCUUGAAGCUCAACUUCGGGCCUGCAUCCGAAACUGCCCGACUAGAGGUAGGUAGGGGAGAUCGGAAUUCCUGGUGUAGCGGUGAAAUGCGCAGAUAUCAGGAGGAACACCGGUGGCGAAGGCGGAUCUCUGGGCCUUACCUGACGCUCAGGUGCGAAAGCUAGGGGAGCGAACAGG